AUGCAGUCGAGCGGACAGAUGGGAGCUUGCUCCCUGAUGUUAGCGGCGGACGGGUGAGUAACACGUGGGUAACCUGCCUGUAAGACUGGGAUAACUCCGGGAAACCGGGGCUAAUACCGGAUGCUUGUUUGAACCGCAUGGUUCAAACAUAAAAGGUGGCUUCGGCUACCACUUACAGAUGGACCCGCGGCGCAUUAGCUAGUUGGUGAGGUAACGGCUCACCAAGGCAACGAUGCGUAGCCGACCUGAGAGGGUGAUCGGCCACACUGGGACUGAGACACGGCCCAGACUCCUACGGGAGGCAGCAGUAGGGAAUCUUCCGCAAUGGACGAAAGUCUGACGGAGCAACGCCGCGUGAGUGAUGAAGGUUUUCGGAUCGUAAAGCUCUGUUGUUAGGGAAGAACAAGUACCGUUCGAAUAGGGCGGUACCUUGACGGUACCUAACCAGAAAGCCACGGCUAACUACGUGCCAGCAGCCGCGGUAAUACGUAGGUGGCAAGCGUUGUCCGGAAUUAUUGGGCGUAAAGGGCUCGCAGGCGGUUUCUUAAGUCUGAUGUGAAAGCCCCCGGCUCAACCGGGGAGGGUCAUUGGAAACUGGGGAACUUGAGUGCAGAAGAGGAGAGUGGAAUUCCACGUGUAGCGGU
rnacentral:rRNA from 2 species